AUGCCAAUCCCGUCAUGGCAGGACCUAAUCCAUCCCCAGCUAUGGCGGCGGCGGCGGCGGCGAGGGCCUGGUGGCGGCCGGAAAUCCCCGCGAACGCCGCAUCCGCUGCUGGCAGCUGCUUCUUCCGUGCCGGAGGAAAACGCUUGUGAGGCCUCUCCCCUAAGCUUUAAUUUCAGGGUUUCCAUCUCCAAUUACUGCGCUGAAUUGAGCAAAAAUAGUACUGUACGUGCUGUAGUAUUCUGGCAACUUAGGACGUCGGUUUGCCGGCCGGUAGUAUCAGGACUUCAAAUGACAGGCAGAGCCAGCAGCAUCCUCCCUCACGUGAAGAGCGGGGAGGCAGCAGAAGGGAGCCCGAACGCCGACGCCGACACUGCCAUCGCCACCGCCCCGGUUGUCGAUGAGGAGACCCUCCGCCACGACCUGGAGACGGCGAUCGAGGAGGAGGACUACGGGCGCGCUGCCAAGCUCCGGGAUGAGCUCCGACACCUGCGAGAGGACGGGCGGUCGUCGCUGCUGGCGGCAAACGCGCGGUUCUACGACGCAUUUCGGGACGGCGACCUGGCAGCGAUGCACGCGGUGUGGGCAAAGGGGGAGCACGUGUACGUGGUGCACCCGUCGGCGGGGCGCAUCUCGGGCUACGAGACGGUGAUGCGGAGCUGGGAGAUGGUGUGCGACGCCGACCACGAGUUCCCGCUGCGGUUCGACCUGCAGGACGUGGAGGUGCACGUCAAGGGGGAUAUUGGGUAUGUCACCUGCCUGGAGAUGGUGAAGACGAGGGGCAGCGGCGGCAGCUGGGGCAAGCAGCUCGCCACCAACGUCUUCGAGAAGGUCGCCGGCGAGUGGCUCAUGUGCGUCCACCAUGCCUCCCAUCUCGACGACGACGACGACGAAUGA
rnacentral:rRNA from 1 species